GUCUACGGCCAUGCCACCCUGAACGCUCCUGAUCUCGGAAGCUAAGCAGGGUCGGGACUGGUUAGUACUUGGAUGGGAGACCGUCUGGGAAUACCGGGUGCUGUCGGCU
rnacentral:rRNA from 1 species